rnacentral:rRNA from 1 species
GAGUUUGAUCGUGGCUCAGAACGAACGCUGGCGGCAUGCCUAACACAUGCAAGUCGAACGAAGGCUUCGGCCUUAGUGGCGCACGGGUGCGUAACGCGUGGGAAUCUGCCCUUAAGUUCGGAAUAGCCCGGGGAAACCUGGAUUAAUACCGGAUGAUGUCUUCGGACCAAAGAUUUAUCGCUUAAGGAUGAGCCCGCGUAGGAUUAGCUUGUUGGUGAGGUAAAGGCUCACCAAGGCGACGAUCCUUAGCUGGUCUGAGAGGAUGAUCAGCCACACUGGGACUGAGACACGGCCCAGACUCCUACGGGAGGCAGCAGUGGGGAAUAUUGGACAAUGGGCGCAAGCCUGAUCCAGCAAUGCCGCGUGAGUGAUGAAGGCCUUAGGGUUGUAAAGCUCUUUUACCCGGGAUGAUAAUGACAGUACCGGAGAAUAAGCUCCGGCUAACUCCGUGCCAGCCGCCGCAGU